GUCAGGUGGGGCUACCCGCUGAGUUUAAGCAUAUAAAUAAGCGGAGGAGAAGAAACUUACAAGGAUUCCCCUAGUAACGGCGAGCGAACCGGGAUCAGCCCAGCUUGAGAAUCGGGCGGCUGCGUCGUUCGAAUUGUAGUCUGGAGAAGCGUCCUCAGCGACGGACCGGGCCCAAGUCCCCUGGAAAGGGGCGCCGGGGAGGGUGAGAGCCCCGUCCG
rnacentral:rRNA from 1 species